GAAAGAAGAAAAGUUGAGUGAGAAUUCCUUUUUUCCCCUCCACCAACAAUGUGGAAAGUGGAAGUGGAAGGCGCCAAAACAAGGGUUCACCCCCCCUUCCCCUGCUGGAUGGAGCGCACUGAUUGUGCCCCUGCAACAGAGCGGGAUGCCGGUGGGGCCGGUUUUUAUACGCAGUAACACGCGCAGCGCGGAUGCUGAAAACGGAAAAUCAGGAGCCCGUGAUUCGAAACAACCGCACUUGAAAACGCUCAACUACUCUCUCCGGGAUGGAACUUAUGCGUAGGUGUGUGUGCGGUUUGCAAGUGAUCCCGCCUUGGAGUUAGGCAGUACCUUCCCUCAGGUGCGGUCGCUGACAGAAGCUAGCUGCUGUGAGCGCAGUUAUCUUCCGCAGCGGUCUCUGUCGAGGGCUGGAUGCUUUGGCACCUAGUGCACCUUCACCACACUGCAGUCGAUCAGCUGGUUAGUGGCCUGCACUAUCCAGCCCUGGUACACCAGCCGAUCAGCUGCGAGGCCUGGAGUGAAGAAGAACGGGACAACCGGCCCAAAGGAGAGAAAGGAUGAAAAAAGGUGGGAAUCUCCAAGUGAUGAGUGAAAAGCGCCGUCCAAAGCACUCACGGUGGGCCCCAGCGCCCCUGCCCCCUUUGGGUGACCGUGGAAGUGCAACUCGCAGCCCGGAUCAGAAGCCAGUCGGGGUGAGACUCGAUCCUCCCAGGUAUCUUUCGCGAUUUGUCUGUGUCUUGCAGAGCAGCUAUUUGGCGCGUCCGCACUCGAAAAAAUUCAACACCGACUGUUAAUGUGUGUAUGUGUGUAGGAAGCUGGGUUGCAUACGGUACAUAAACCGUCUACAGAUUGGUCGUCGC